AGCUGCAACUCCAGAAGGAGACAAGGAUCGCCAGCAUCUAAGAGAAAAAGGAAUCUUCUUUGCUCCUAUUAUUUUUAUGAUGCUGCUAUUUUUAAAUUUACAGCUGCCCGGUAGGUUUUGCUGCUAAACCAAGGAAGGCAUUAAGCCGGGCGCUCCCUCAGCUACAGCCAAGCCGCGGCUGACUCCUGGUGAGCAGCAGGAGCCCCGCAGUGCCCAGGCGCCGUGGAUGUUGCAGCCCAGCAGCAGCAGCAGCGUUGCGGCGUGCCUCUUGCCACACACACCCUUGGCAGCCAGACGUUGCCCUUUUAAGAAGCCCGGGUGCUGGCUCAGGUAGGCAGAGCCUGUGUGCAGUAGUCGCUCCUAUGGCAACCCAAUAGAAUGGGAUCGCUUCAUGAAUAUUCCCAGGAGCCGGGGCUGCAUGAGGAAUAAGUGAUGACGGUGAUGUAAGCAAGCAGUGGCUGCUGCAGGUUGCAGUUCAUUGUGUUAUUGGCCGGCAGGUUGAGGAGUUUGAGGCACCCAGGCUUGCGCUUCGCUUUUCGGAUGAUGUCUGCCUGCCGGGAGACACUGCACAUUUGCAUCUCGAAGCCAACAUGGCAAGGCGGCUGCUGCUGCUGCCGCCCUCCCUCGCCUUCCAGCCAGAAGUGUGUGGCUCUCCUCUAGACUUCUUGCCCAGUGCUCUGGAUCUGAGCAGACAGGGAUUGCAGUAACACUCACCAAGGGGAGGCAAGCAGCAAGUAGGCAAAUCGGGACAAGGGAGGAGAGGGGGGGGCUUUUUUGCCUUCCCUCUUUUUUUUUCCUUCCGUUCUGGAUGCAGAGCCCGUGCGUUGAUGCGGAGCCUGUGGAUGCCACAGUCUGGUAAGGGGAUGACACGCCAGCCUCUGGUCCCUCCUGCCUCUUGAGCUGGGGGCAGGGGCCUGGGGGCAGCGACGGUUCCCCUCCUUCGGCACAGCCGGGGGGGUCUCUCCCCCUCACUGAGCAGCAGCAGCAGCAGCGGCCAUGGACAAGCUGCCCCCCUCCAUGCGCAAGAGGCUCUACAGCCUGCCCCAGCAGAUAGGACCCAAGGCGUCGAUCAUGGAUGAGGAGGAAGACAGCGACAAGGACACCCGGAGGAAAAGCAUCAGGCUCAAGCCACUGCCUUCGCCCUCUGCUGGGAGCACCCGGGCACUCGGGGGAGACCCCAGCAGAGGGGGAGACCCUGGCCUCCUGGAGACAGAGGCAGGCAGCAAGGGCGCCAAGACCAGCACCAAUGGGGACUGCCGCCGCUUCAAAGGGAGCCUGUCCUCGCUGACCAGCAGGCACCUCCACGACGCGGCUGAGGAGAAGAGGCUGAUCGGCGGCGAAGGGGAGCCAGCCUCCCCCGGAGAGGACAAGAGCCCCCCUGGCAGUGGGGAGACGGAGCAGGGACUGCCAGCACCCCCGCCACCGGCAUCCCCCCCGGAGUCCCAGCAGCAGCCCCCCCGAGCUUGCUCCUCUACCUCCAUCAAAGUGGAAGGAGGUGGAGGGUGCGACCAGAUCACCCCAGAUGAGGAGCAGAGGCUGGGCCAAGCUGGUUUCAUGCAGAGGCAGUUCGGGGCCAUGCUCCAGCCGGGGGUCAACAAAUUCUCCUUGAGGAUGUUUGGCAGCCAGAAGGCCGUGGAGCGGGAGCAGGAAAGGGUUAAGUCUGCCGGGUUCUGGAUCAUCCAUCCCUACAGUGACUUCAGGUUUUAUUGGGAUUUGACCAUGCUGCUGCUGAUGGUAGGGAACCUGAUCAUCAUCCCUGUGGGCAUCACUUUCUUCAAGGAUGAAAACACUACCCCAUGGAUUGUCUUCAAUGUGGUUUCGGACACGUUCUUCCUCAUCGACCUUGUCCUCAACUUCCGAACAGGCAUCGUGGUGGAGGACAACACGGAGAUCAUCCUAGACCCACAGCGUAUCAAGAUGAAGUACCUGAAGAGCUGGUUUGUGGUGGAUUUUAUCUCCUCCAUCCCCGUUGACUACAUCUUCCUGAUCGUUGAAACCCGCAUUGACUCUGAGGUGUACAAGACAGCCCGGGCGCUGCGCAUUGUGCGCUUCACUAAGAUCCUCAGCCUCCUGCGGCUCCUGCGGCUCUCCCGGCUCAUCCGCUACAUUCAUCAGUGGGAGGAGAUCUUCCACAUGACCUAUGAUCUGGCUAGCGCAGUGGUGCGCAUUGUGAACCUGAUCGGGAUGAUGCUGCUGCUGUGUCACUGGGAUGGCUGCCUCCAGUUCCUUGUGCCCAUGCUGCAGGACUUCCCAGAUGACUGCUGGGUAUCCCUCAACCGCAUGGUGAAUGACUCCUGGGGGAAGCAGUAUUCCUAUGCGCUGUUCAAGGCAAUGAGUCACAUGCUCUGCAUUGGGUACGGGCAGCAGGCGCCCGUUGGCAUGUCAGAUGUGUGGCUCACUAUGCUGAGCAUGAUUGUCGGUGCCACCUGCUAUGCCAUGUUCAUCGGCCAUGCCACAGCCCUAAUCCAGUCUCUGGACUCCUCACGGCGUCAGUACCAGGAGAAGUACAAACAAGUGGAGCAGUAUAUGUCCUUCCACAAGCUCCCUGCGGACAUGCGGCAGCGCAUCCAUGACUACUACGAGCACCGCUACCAGGGGAAGAUGUUCGAUGAGGAGAGCAUCCUGGGAGAGCUGAGUGAGCCUCUCCGAGAGGAAAUCAUCAACUUCAACUGCCGGAAGCUGGUUGCCUCGAUGCCCCUCUUUGCCAACGCAGAUCCCAACUUUGUGACAUCCAUGUUGACCAAGCUGCGGUUCGAGGUGUUCCAGCCUGGGGAUUACAUCAUCCGCGAGGGCACCAUUGGCAAGAAGAUGUACUUCAUCCAGCACGGAGUGGUGAGCGUCCUCACCAAAGGCAACAAGGAGACCAAGCUGGCAGAUGGCUCCUACUUUGGAGAAAUUUGCCUGCUGACUCGUGGCCGGCGCACAGCCAGUGUGCGAGCUGAUACCUACUGCCGGCUCUACUCCCUCUCGGUGGACAACUUCAACGAGGUGCUGGAAGAGUAUCCCAUGAUGCGGCGAGCUUUUGAAACGGUGGCUCUUGACAGGCUGGACAGAAUUGGUAAGAAAAAUUCCAUUCUGCUGCAUAAAGUCCAGCAUGACCUCAAUUCAGGUGUUUUCAACUACCAAGAGAAUGAGAUCAUCCAGCAGAUUGUGCAGCACGAUAGAGAGAUGGCACACUGUGCUCACAACGUCCAGGCUGCUGCUGCCGCCGCUGCCGCUGCUGCAUCCACACCCACGCCCGUCAUCUGGACUCCACUGAUCCAGGCACCCCUGCAGGCUGCAGCAGCCACCACUUCUGUUGCGAUAGCUCUGACCCACCACCCGCGCCUCCCCACAGCCAUCUUCCGUCCCCCGGUGUCCGUCCUGGGUUCCCUGGGGCAGCAGUCCAGCCAGACCCCAAGGCAGCUGAAAAGGCUUCAGUCUCUAAUCCCAUCGGCUGGGCCUUCCGCUGUUGGCUCCCCCUCCAGCACUCCGUCCCAGCUGCACACACCGGGAGCAGAAACCCCGUCGUCCUCUUCCUACCACAUCCAGCAGCUCGCAGGAUACUCGGCUGCCGCCGGCUUAGGCCAGUUCCAGGUGGGAUCCCCUCCCGGUGGCUCGAGCCAGACAGGUUUGAGUGGCGCAUCCUCCGUGGGACUGAGCCAGCUCCAACAAGCACCAUCUGGAUCACCUUUAGGGACAGCUCAGCCCACCCAGCAGCAGCAGCAACAACAGCAGCAGCAGCAGCAGCAGCCACCCCUUUCCAGCAGUGGAUUCGGGCACUUCCAGCAAGCCACAACUAGCUCUCCAUCAGCAUCACUCACCCAGCUCGCAUCAAAUUCACCCCCUGGCCUUCUCAACCAGUUCCAGCCCACCACGAGACCACUGCAGGCGGGACAGUUACAGCAGCUCUCAGGCAGUGGGACUUUGGGGGCAAUUAAUCACUUCCAGCCCCCUCCUUCUUCCAACUCGCCAUCCGCCAGCCUAAGCCAGCUGGCACAGGCCUCUGGUGGGCCGUCCUCAGGCCUGUGCCAAACACAUCCAAGUGCAUUAGGAUCUGUAACUGGAACGAUAGCCCAGCUCCACCAGGAACGAUCGCCUUUUGCCUCCAUGUCUCCUCUCCAACAGUCCGGCGUCGCCUCUCCCUGUUAUACCCCUUCUGGCCUUAGUCCUCCUACUCAGAGCCCAGUGGCAACAAGAACGUUCCAGUGUGGCCCUUCUGGGGCCUCAGGCUCUCACGGCUCUCUGCUCCUGCCUCAGACCGCCAGCCCACCUCCGCAGAUCCUGCAGUCCAAAAGCACGCCGCCUGUGCCACCCGGACGCCUGAACCAGGACAUCAAGUUGAUUUCUGCUUCCCAGCCAUCUUUGCCCCAAGAGCUGGCUCAGACACUGAGCCAAAGUUCUCAUUCCUCUAGAGAAUCUGUUUCCAGCUUCUCUCCUUUUCCUGGUGGAGGGACUGGACUUCUCGGGAAGCCUUGUAGCUCAAUUCCUGGGCGCGUGACUUUACCACGUCAGAUGUCCUCAGGUUCUUUACCACAUCCGCUGGUGUUUGGGGCCAGCACUGCGGGCACUGCUUCCCUGACUGCUGGUGGGCGGAAAGAAUCCAUAGUGCUCACGGGGGAUCUGGAGCCUGUCAGAUCCAAACUGCCCUCCAAUUUGUGAGGACUCCUUCUGAGAGCUGGUUAUGUCAGCCGUGCAAUUCAGUUCCCGAUUAGACUUUCAUGAAUCAUUUUUUUUUCUUUUUUUUUUUUUUUUAAUUUUCCCUCUUUUUCCUCCAUUUCUUUUGUUUAGGUUUAACUGUGGUUAGAAACAAACGACAAAAAAAAACACGAAAAACAACAAAAAAAAGAAGAUAACCAGGUAUUCUUAGAGCUAUAGAUUUUUGGUCACUUGAUUUUAUAGAAUAUUUUAAUACAUGGAACAAAGGAUAUGAGCAAAUUUAAUCCAACGAGGUAACACACAGAUGAGGCGUGUGCCUGAGCUGGAACAUGUGAAUGAUCAGCCAUAGAAGCCACCAAAAGAGGUUUUCCUGUUGAGGCAAAGAUCUGAGGUUGACGUGGGCCAUAGAAGGGAGCAUCAGGUCAGGCCCGUAGCUGGUGUUUUUGGAACAGCUCUGCUUAGCACCGCUUUGCACCAGACUGGUGCACUUGAACCUGGCUCGCAGCACCGAGACAUGGAGGGACUGAGAUAGCUCACCGCAUACAUCGGGAAGUUUCACUGCCUCCCAGGUUUUCUCCUGUGAUCAGCAGGGCACAGAGGAAGCAAGAAGAGGGCAAGUUUCACUAACGCAGUCCCCUCUGGGGAUUUCAGAAGGGCUGAGUUGUUUUUUUGGACUCCAUCUGAAGAAGAGGAGGGUGACCAGGAGACGGACGGGCCUGACUGCAGCUGCUUGUCUCGUUCCACCAAUGCUCUGAGGGAGAAGUCCCGUUGCUGCCAGCCCCGCUGGCCACAGCAGAAGAAUCACAGAAUCACAGAAUGGCUGAGGUUGGAAGGGACCUCUGAAGAUCACCUAGUCCAACCCCCCUGCCGAGUAGGAUCACCUAGAGCACCUUGCGCAGGAUGGCAGCCUCAGCGUCCCUGCGGUGUGCAAAGCAUGCAUGCUGCCAUCCAGGCUGGGGCAUGCAGAGCAAGGGAGGGAUGAAGAAAGGCAGCACAUUAAUCUUCCCUCUCAGUCUCGGUGUCUCAGUGUCCAUGGGCUGACUGCUUUGAAGAGAACUGAGUAGGGUUCAUCUUGAAACAGAACCAGUUGAUGGAAUUGAAGCAGAGUCACAGACCCUCUCAUAAGUUCAAAGGUACGAGUUCCUAGAGGAAGACUCAUGAUAUCCUUUCAAGUAUUAUAUUUAUUUUAACAACCUUUUUUCCCCGUAUGCUAGAGGGCCCCCUAGAGCGAACAUCUCAAGAGGUUGGGAUUUAAGCUGUUUGGGUCUGGGGAAUUCGAUACAAGCGGGUGGGAAAGGUCUUCAGCCCAGCAAUGCCAAGCCCUCGUGGAUGACUGUCCUGUGACUGCUGCAUUGGUACUUGAAUCUCAACAACCCCUGUGGACACUCAGACAAAUGGAGGUGCACAGAAACACCCUGAGGGCUGUCUCUGGUAGACGUGCGUUCCUUCCACCAGGCCGGUGAACAUGCUGCGUUCGGUUGGGUUCCUUUGCUUUGAUUUUCAUGGGGGUGCUGUUUGAUUUUCCAGUUCUUAGCAGUGCAGUAGCCAAUAUUGAGUUACUCUGACUGGACCCCAGUCAACACUAGGCUUGUCUCAGUAGGUGGAACUAUAUUAAUUAUUAUUGUUAUUUUUUUGUUUUAUUUUGGGGAGAAGGGAGGGAAGAGUUCUAGGGGUGGGGUUUGCAAUAUAAAACACACAAUAAAAAACCUUAGUAAAUAAAAAAGUAAAAACCCAGCCCUCUGACUUGCUGUCUGCUUUGAGUGUUGAAAUUUAGGCACUGUGGGAGGAGGUUUCAAGAAAAAAAACAACUCGUGUGGCAUUUCAGCCCUCUCUGCCCUACUGGAGAGGUACGAUGAAAGGUUUUGUCUUGCUUCCUAUCUGUAUUUUCCUCCUGUUUUCACAACUUUGGUGGCGUGUUUACCUGCUGCCACAUCUCCACCUCACUCACGCCUGUAGGCAGUGUAUGGUAAGCCACUGACAGUAAAAUGUCUACACUUUUGCCUACACUUUAAUUUUUAGCAGUGCAAAGGAGAAACCUGCCAGUUGUUUUGCUAAAAGUGUACGAGAUUCCUUCACAGUACUGACAGAUCUGGAAUCUCUGGCUGACUUUGUGAGCCUCAGAGAAGAGCUCAGGGAGCCUUACCACAGGAUGCAAAAGUUAACAACUUGGAAUCGGGACUAUCACAGAAAGAGGAUGAAAAUCUGGACAAGAAGUCACCAUUUCCAAGUCAUAACUUAAGCUGGGUGAUGAUGCCAGAGUCAGGACCUGAUGUAUUUUUGGAAGGAGCUCGCAGCACGGUGCUGGCGAGCGCAGGAGGCCACAGGGUGCCUACAGCGUGCUCUAGUGCGUGCCCUGGGGAAGGAGAAGGGAGUUGCACCUUUAUCCUUGCUGGGGGAGACACCAAGGCGAGGGCAGUGUGAGAGCUUCACGGCUGCUGAGCCGGAGACAGCACCCGAGGAGGCAGGCAGCACCUUUCCCCUUGCAGGCCUGAAGCCCAGGACAGAGGACCUCACCCCACCCUGACAGAGUGAUGGAAGUCCAGGAGCUGGAUGUGCUGACAGCCUAAACUGAAAGGGAUGCCGCAAAACCACCAGGCACGGUCCAGUGGGUGCUUUCCCCUUGUAUGGAGCGUGCUAGGACAAGUCAUCGCUGCCAUCUAGUGUCCCUGCCGUGCACUGCCCAGCGUGCAGAAGGGUACAAGUCACAGCAUGUGUUACUUCCACCUGCCUUACAACAGACUACGUGGCCCUCAUAAAACUGCCACCUUUCAUCUGGCUUGCCCUGCAAUGCGAGUACCAGAGCAAAUUAGCUGCGCUGGCCAAGUAAGAAAUGGUCU